AGGACACAGCAGCCAUGGAGAGCAUACCCCUGCUAGGUUUCACCAUUGCUCCAGAAAAGGAGGAGGGCAGCAGUGAAGUAGGACCUAUUUUUCACCUUUACCACAAGAAAACCCUAUUUUAUAGCUUCAAAGCAGAGGAUACCAAGUCAGCUCAGAGGUGGAUUGAGGCCAUGGAAGAUGCCAGUGUGUUAUAGCAGUUACCAACCAUGUGGACUCAAAGUACACUCUUAGGUUGAUAUGUGGACCCUUCCAGAAGCCAGUCCGUGUCUCCGCUCGACCAGACACACAUCUGGAUUCAGCACGGGGCCUGCCGUUUUUUGCUGUAACCCCGUUGCUUAACACCUUCACAGGUGGAACCUUUUAGGGAUAUUUAUGGACCUUUUCUGUCUUUGUGUUUCCAUCCCCCACCCCCACCCCUGGCAUAAACUAUUUCCUUUUCCAGUAGCCAGUUGAAAUUUAGUAACGUGAAGACAUGGAAACCAAUAGAAGAGUACAUUUUAGAAAAGCAGGCUUUUUAGUGGAAACGAGUUUUUAUGGUUUUUACUCCUGGUAAACGUGAUCACCUUUCAUAUUGCUGACGCCAGUGCCUCAGGUGAAAUGAGAAACAACCGGUAACUAACAGCAACUCUCAUCAAAAGCACUUUAUUGUUUUACUGAGCAAGAACCUCCAGUUUUAUGUUUGCCAAGUGAUUUACUGAGGUCAACAGUAGAGGGCGUCCUGUGGACUAAUUGCCACCAGUGCUCAAGAGGGGCGUCCAUCCAGAUGGUUUGUGCAAACCCUGCUGUGGCUCCAGCAAGCACCAUGGGGACCAUCCUCCUUCUGGCUGCGCAGGAGCAGAAGGGAGGACUCGGUCCUACCGAUGGCUCGGCCUGUGGGCCACACGACUGCCUAAAGGAGGGGCUCCCCCUCCCCACAGCGGCCCCAGCACCACACCUGUGCUGACAGAUCUGGCCUCCACCCUGGAGGUCACUGCACACCCUCCGAAGAGACAGGGUCUGCUUUAAUUUAUUGUGUGCCUUCCUGAGUUCACCCCAAGGUUAUGCUUAUGAGGAUUGUCCUUGCUUUCAACACAGUGAUCCUUCUGCUGUAUUACUGAAGCCUUGAAAGAGAUAAAAAGAGAGAGAACAAGACAGAAUCAGAAGGUGAAUCUGUGGUCAUGGCCAGUGGCUCUGAACACAGGAAGGGAGCACAGAAGCAGUGGCUGAAGAUUCUUUCUGGGCUCCUGGGGCUCAGUCACCUUCCGCUGAGGACUGCUGCUCACGAUGCCAGACGUGUUUUUACAUGAAGCGGAGUGGUAGGGGGAUUCCUUGUUACUCUUGUCAAAAUAAAAAACAAUCAUAGC
rnacentral:lncRNA from 1 species